CGAGAGAGAGGGGACUCGAACCCCCGCCCUUUAGCGUGACAGGCUAACGCGCUAACCAUCUGCGCUACUCCCCC
rnacentral:tRNA from 1 species